UCUCCGUUGGUGAACCAGCGGAGGGGUCAUUACCGAGUUUACAACUCCCAAACCCCAUGUGAACCUUACCAAACGUUGCUUCGGCGGGAUGCCCCGGGCGCGGGCCGCAAGGCCUCAGCCCCGGAACCAGGCGCCCGCCGGAGGCCCAAACCAAACUCUUGUUUUUGUAGAAUCUUCUGAGUGGCCUUUUAGGCAAAAAAUGAAUCAAAACUUUCAACAACGGAUCUCUUGGUUCUG
rnacentral:misc_RNA from 1 species